GGAAUUGUUCACAAUGGGCGCAAGCCUGAUGACGCAACGCCGCGUGGGGGAUGAAUGUCUUCGGAUUGUAAACCCCUGUCGAAUGGGACGAAUAGCUUCCGGAUCAAUACCCCGGAGGAAUGACGGUCCCGUUAACGGAAGCCACGGCUAACUCUGUGCCAGCAGCCGCGGUAAUACAGAGGUGGCAAGCGUUGGUCGGAAUUACUGGGCGUAAAGGGCGCGUAGGCGGCCAUCUAAGUCAGACGUGAAAUCCCCCGGCUCAACCUGGGAACUGCGUCUGAUACUGGAAGGCUAGAGGUUGGGAGAGGGAUGUAGAAUUCCAGGUGUAGCGGUGAAAUGCGUAGAUAUCUGGAGGAAUACCGGUGGCGAAGGCGGCAUCCUGGACCAAUACUGACGCUGAGGCGCGAAAGCUAGGGGAGCAA
rnacentral:rRNA from 1 species